CUCCGUUUUAACUUCAUACGUGCUGCAUUGUUUAAGCCUGGAGCUUGUGCUGCACAACGUGAAAAGUGAAGAGACAGUGACUGACAGCCCUAGCUCCAUUCUAUACAUACAUAUACAAUACAUCUCUGCACCUUCUCCCCUGUAGUCUCUGAUAAGCCUCCUAUUGCUAUGGCUUUCAGUCCAUGCCUCCCUCAAUCUCUCCUCUGGUGAUAGCUUUCCACUGCAGUUGCAUCCAGGAAGGAACUGAAACAGCUGUUACCCAGCCAGGUAGGACUUUGUCUGAUACUCUCCAUUUAUGGAAACUGAUCUAAAGUGUUUAGUAGCUAUAUCUUACCUUUAGCACUGCAGUACUUGCUGACUACAGUUCAUGUGAGACUCUGACAGCUAUACAGCUGGCUAAGUGUCUUGAGAAAUAGCAUGUACUUGAACUGGACUGUUACUGCUAAUAUAUAAGGAUCAUGAAGCAUAAAAAGUAAUAUUUUAUAAAGUAAUAAAAUUAAGAAAAUCAUCCACUUGGUGACACUGUAAGUAAUAACAACUUUAACAUAUAUUGAUAGAAUAUAGGUAUUAGCACAUUAAGUGGGCAAAGUCCAUCAGGUUAGAGGCAAAGUAAGAGGGGUUGGAUCAAGUUCUAUGAGUGGAGUCUACUAUGCCACAAAAAAAAAAUCAUCAUUAGACGCCACGGAAAAUAAUUCAAAAAAUAUUAACCGUGUUAUUACAUACUUGCAGUACAGACUCAGAAGAGGUUACACUGACCCACUUGUGCCUCCCCUACCCCAAGCAUUAUAAUAUUGCCAGAGUGCCAGGCAGUGCAUUAGCUACUUUCCAGCCACAGAAUACUUGGUUGCUUCAGAAUGUCAAAUGUGUAGGGAAUGUGGCUUUAGGAGAUGUGGUUUGGUAGGCAGACAGGGGAGGUACAAUCACAUACUUGAACCCAGGCAGCAUAAUGUGUUGGGUCAGCCCUUGGGCAGAUUAGAUGGGCCGGGCCGAAUGGUUCUUAUCUGCCGUCACAUUCUAUGUUGCUAUGUUUCUUCAAACAUUGGAUUAUUAUUGCGCGCAUAGGCAUGUGCACGGGUUGUGCCCGGUGUGCCUGGGCACACCCUAAUCCCUGCAGCCUGUGCUCUGUGCCUCCAUGGGCCGGUGAGGGAGAGCAAAGAUCUUUCUCACCGGCCCACAGGCAGGGAUGGAGUCAGGAGAGGACCCGGGUUGCUCCGCUGGGUUCCUCUCGCGAGGUCGGAGUGCUGUCGCGGCAACGCCCAGAUCUCGCGAGAGUGAACUCUAGCCCCACAGGGCUAAGAAGGGAGGGGGGCUAUUAACUAAAUGGUCACCCCACCCCCACGCAACACACACACACACACAGCACCCACACACAUACAGCACCCUCACACACACAUCACACUCACACACAGCACCCUCACACAUACACACACACAGCAAACAUUAAGAGCACCCUCACACACACAGCACCCUCACACAUACACACACACACUAACAGCGCCCUCACACUCACACAGCACCCUUACACACACACACACACUAGCAGCAUCCUUACACACACACACCAUCCUUACAAACACACACACACCACCCUCACAAACACACACACAGCAUCCUCAUACACACACAGCACCCCGCCCCACACAGCGCCACCCCCCACACACACACACACAGCAGUGUAUGUGUGUGUGUGUGUAUGUAUGUAUGUAUGUAUAUAUAUAUAUAUAUAUACAUAUAUAUAUAUAUAUUCCGCGUGUAUGUUUGUGCUUUAGGGUGCACACCGUCAGUGAAAUUUAUAAUUAAAUGCCUUUAAAAUACAAUGUUGGUGACAACCUAAGAUUAUUUAAACAAUCUAAAAUAAAGUACAGAAUUAGGGUAUGUUACAUUUAUUUUAAUUAAUAGUUUCAUAUAAUGAUAAUUAUUUUUUACAUGAGCAUCACUGUAUUAGUUAAGGAAUAUUUAUCUCAGGUCCCAUGAAGAAACAUGCUAAUUUUUACACCAGCCCUCCAGCACUCACAGGUAAACACAUGGAGCAUACCUUUAUAUCAAAUAGCCUACCAGCCUACAACACAAAUACAAAUAUCACACUAAUUGAAUGUGAAAAUGCAUAACUUACUUUCAAGACUGAUCACGAUACAAGAACCAAUGCAUCAUGAAGCUUAUGGUUGUGUUUUUGUUAAUUCAAUGUAUUUAAAGUAAAUAAAUAAAUACAAUGAUUUGUUUUACCGAAUCACCCUUUGUGCAACUUUCUACCAAUUGGCAGUGUUUCCUUUUUUGUUUUAAUUAUACAUUUAUGCAUGAUAUAAUAUGGCUACACAGCACUGAAAUUGAAAUUAAUAGUAUGACACCAUAAAAUCUAAAAGUUACUUACAGGUAGCUGUUUUUCUAGACAAAUGCUAAAGUUUUUGGUUUGGUUAGGUUUCAGCUUUUUCAACGGAAUUCUUGUUUCUCCAAUGAAUUCAUUGUGCCGGAAUUUAUCUUCAUCACAUACAGAAAUUCUAUGCAUAAAUCACAGAGAAAAGAAUAUUUAGCUUGCAAGAAACAUCUUUAGUAAAACAACAAUCAUAUGAUGAUAGUAUGAUGUAACACAAAUUAAAACCACAUCAUCUAUAGCAAAACUAAACUACCACUUAGUUUAGUGCAUCACCGCCUUAAUCAAUAAAUACAAAAGCUGUUAGCCAGGUUCAAUAUACUGUUGUACAAUCCUUGUACAGCAUAUUAUCUUGCAUCAAUACCCUGUUAAAAAUAUAAUUUUUUACGUCAGCAUCCAGACAAGUACAGUACGAUGCUUUGAGUGCUCCAAUUUUUGUAGACCUUCACGUGGAGACCACUUUUAACCCCUUAAGGACCAAACUUCUGGAAUAAAAGGGAAUCAUGACAUGUCACACAUGUCAUGUGUCCUUAAGGGGUUAAAGGGACACUAUAGUCACCAGAACAACUACAGCUUAAUGUAGUUGUACUGGUGAGAAUCAUUGCCUUCAGGCAUUUUCAUGCAAACACUGCCUUUUCAGAGAAAAGGCAGUGUUGACAUUGCCCUUAAAGGACCACUAUAGUGCCAGGAAAACAUACUCGUUUGUAUACCCCUCCCGCUGGGCUGGAUGGAGAGGAAAGGGGUUAAACUUUUUUUCCAGCGCCGGGCGGGGAGCUCUCCUCCUCUUCUCCACCUCCGAUCCUCCUCUUCGGCUGAAUGCGCAUGCACGACAAGAGCUGCGCGCGCAUUCAGCCUGUCUCAUAGGAAAGCAUUCAUAAUGCUUUCCUAUGGACGCUUGCGUCUUCUCACUGUGAUUUUCACAGUGAGAAGCACGCAAGCGCCUCUAGCGGCUGUCAAUGAGACAGCCACUAGAGGAUUUAGAGGCUGGAUUAACCCAUUUAUAAACAUAGCAGUUUCUCUGAAACUGCUAUGUUUAUAAAAAAAAGGGUUAAUCCUAGAGGGACCUGGCACCCAGACCACUUCAUUAAGCUGAAGUGGUCUGGGUGCCUAGAGUGGUCCUUUAAGGACACCUCCAAGUGGCCACUCCUCACAUGGCCACUGGAGGGGUUUCCAGGCUCAGUGCUGCACAGUAGGACGCUGAAUUUUCCUCAUAGAAAUGCAUCUCUAUGAGGAGGUGCUGAUUGGCCAAAACGGUGUUUGGCCCUGCCCUCUUGCCAAUUUUAGCCAAUCCAAUGCUUUCCCUGUGGGAAAGCAUUGGAUUGGCUAAAAAUCGGCAAUUCUGAUGAUGUCACCAAGGGGGCGAGGCCAGCACUGGCGGACUCGUGGAGAGCGUGGGAAAUUACUUUGCAAGAAAUAUAUGAGAACACAUUAUGUAUGUAUUUAUAUAUAAUGUGAGCUUUUUCUUGAUUAAUAUUUUUGUUCAGUUUUGUAAUUCACUAACAACUCACUAAUUCAUUAGUACAUUAUUAAUAGGACGAAAUGCAAUACAGUAGUAAUGAUUUGUUUAUUUCUAAUUUUGUGCCCAGUAUUGUAGCCUCUGCUUUGGCUUAAUAAAGAUGGCCGCAUAUUGUACAAAUUAAUUCAAUAUACUCCUACAUCUUUUAGAUCUCUGCUGUUUACUUCUACUGCUUUGGUAUAUUGUCUGUCUUGCAAACCAUGAUGAGUGGAUGGUACUUUCAAUAUUAUUUCAGUCUGCAUUUGAGUAUAAUAUCCAAUAAUACCAAUAACAUACUAUGUACAGUUAAAUCAAAUAUUUAUAAAAUAAAGGCGUUUAAAACAUUUUAUUUUCUGUUUUUCUAAAGUAUUGCUAAGAGGUGUAUGAGAGAUUCCAUUCAGUACAAAUUCCUGAUGGUAGAAUAUUAUAAUGUCGAUCAGAUUCGAGAACGGAAUGAUAAGAUUGGGCCUGCUGCCGGUCCCAAUAAUACUGGGUUUUCUGUGAUACCAGAUGAUGUUGAACCACUGGAUGAUACAGGUCUCAGUUCUCCAGGAGUUGUUGUUGAAGAACCAGUUCUGUGUGUUCCAUCUGACAGAGCACAGGAAGAAGGGAUGGGCACAACUGAAGGUCCAGGUGAAGCAGUUCCAAACAUGAUUUCGGGGCGCCCAAGACAAAAUAUUAAACCUCCCAGUUAUCUCAAAGACUUUGAGGUCUAGUGGGGAGGAGUGUUAUGUAUUGGGGUUUAUGCAGUCCACCUUCCAGUAGAUGGCAGCAUAGUGAAGUUAUGCACUUGUUCUGUUGUGUUAGUCUCUCUUUUGUAAUGUUAUUAUGUGUGUGUACUGAAGUAAAGAAAAGUUCUAUUUUACUACAAUGUCUGAGAGCCAUUUGUGAAUAUAUAACAUGCAAAUACUUUAAAAUGUACAUAAAUCUUUAGAUGGUAUAACACAGUAGACCUCAGAAUAACAAGAAAACAAAAUAAUAGUGCAGUACAGUUUGAUAUGAAUAGUAAUUGAUUUUGUGGCUCUGUAUAAAAUCCACUCACAUUUUAUUGAGCUAUAUUAGAGCUCAGCUGUAAUACGCAUGGACGGUAUAAUCCCCAUCUAAGGAUAUAUAGUGAUGUGGUCGACAUAGGUGCUCCAAAUGCGAUGCAAUAUACGUGGUAUUUGAAAAUAAGGUAAUGUACUUACAUUUUUGAGAGCAGAACUUGCUCUGGUAUAAACAGCAUAGGUGGUAUAAUCCCCAGCUAAGGAUAUGAUGGUACCAGGAAGCAAGAGGUAAAUAAAAGAUAAAUAACUAUAAAAAAAGUUAACUUUUAUUUAACCAUAAAAAAGUAUAAAGUAAUCUAAGAAGUCCCACUUGACGCGUUUCGCUUUACAAAGGCUUCUUCAGAAAUGUGGUUUAGUCCUUACUGAGUUCCGUUUAUAUAUGGGAGUCCUAAUUGUAGAUGGCUUCCUGGUGAGUCUAAUUUCCAGUUUCCUGUUUCCAGGCUGAAGCGCACAAGUCACACUGUAAGUGACGCGGCGGUGAUCAAUCAUUGAUGGUCUGGAUAGGCUAAUUUUGCGUCAAUUUGGAAUGCACGAAAUGCCACAAUGGUGUAGAUUGCAUUCCAAACGCCAAUGGUAUAGGUCUCUAUUGUGUCCAUGAAGGGCUGGCGUUAUUUUUAAUUGUAAACACUACCUCCUGCACAAUAAUUAAUUGGUGGUAUAGUAUCAUGGAAAAAGGAAAUGACGUGAUGCUUUAGGCUUGUAUUCUUACAAUAUGCCUGUAAAGCUGUAAUGGCUCAGCGGCUGUAUUUAAAGAAGGCAAAAGUUAGAUAGGUGUUACAAAUGUAUAUUUCUAUCUUUAUGUAAUUAAAUGAUGACAUUACUUAUAUGGUUGUAAAUUAUUAAUUAUUGACUGGAUCAAAGCCAGCUGAGAGAUAGGAGAACUGAAAGAGUUAGAGAGCCGGAUUAGUGAAUCUUCUCUUUGGAUGCUGCUCCCACCUAUCCCUUAUACACAAGUAUGUCCCGUCUAGGCCCUUACGAUCUGCUGAAGACUUACGUCUAUCUUUUGUCCGUACUCCCACCUCUGAUGCUCGCCUUCAAGAUUUCUCGAGGGCUGCAUCGUUCCUGUGGAACUCGCUUCCCUCCUCUGUUAGAUGCUCACCCAGUCUCCACUCCUUCAAAAAAUCAUUAAAAACCAACUUCUUAAUAGUUCCUGACUGAUUCCUCUUCUGCAACUGCCACUAGUCUAAUACUAUCCUUACCUUUUGUGUCAUUUUACCCCACUCCCUCUAGCAUGAAAGCUCAUUGAUCAGAGCCCUUAACCCCUCUGUUCGUGUGUGUCCAACUUGUCUGGUUACAACUACAUGUCUGUUCGUCCACCCAUUGUAAAGCGCUGCGGAAUUUGAUGGUGCUAUAUAAAUAUCAUAAUUAUAAUAAUAAUAAUAAUAAAACUGAUUUAAAAAAAAAAACUCUCUCCAACAAUGGUUGCAAUCUAAUAAUUUGGAAUUAUAAGUUAAUUUUUUUUUCUUCUUUUCUGUCACGUGAUCUAUCAGUUGAUUCUGUUUAUAACAAUUGCUACUAGUCUCUGGGAUAAAGUUUAUAUCUCCUAGGCAGGAGAAGAGAUAUUAAUUGCUUUAUACAUUUUUUAAGUAUAUUUUUUGGAAGGGAUAUGCAGUUUUAAAUUUACAAUAUACUCGUUUUUUUGCUAUAGGGAUUGAGACACCCUAAGGAAAUAGAUGCUGUGCUACAAAUUGUAUUGGGAUUACUUUUUAUUUUAUUUUUUUAUUUUUUUUCUUCCCUUUUCUUUCUUAGGAAAACUGAUACAGCAUGUCACAUUCAUGCACUAUAAACUCUUCCACUCAAACACCUUUUAUUCUAAAAUGUUGAACACUCCUACUUGCUCUAUUAUGUUAGAUAUGUUUCACUUUCUAAAUAUUUAUAUUGAGGAGUUUGCACCAAACUGCACUUGAUAUUGUUAGCAAUUUAAAACCUCAUCUAUUGUGAGGGAGUUUCUUCCCUGUUAUAUAUCAUUGUUGAAGAAGUUAACUGCACGAAGGUUAAAUAUGACACAUUUACCUUUCUUUUGCAUUCUUCUAUUUAUUUAUUUUUCUUUCCCGACACCCUAUCUUUCCCAUCUCCUUCCCUCUCUGUCAUAUGCAUGUACUAGGGCAGGAAGGACAUGGGAAGGAGUCAUGUGGGAAAUAUAUUUGUUUUUAAUGUUUCUCUCACUUGUGACUCACCAGUUGGAACUGUUUAUAAUUUUUAUUGGUAUUUGGAAUAACCCUGGAGAAUUUAGCAAAAUAUAUUUUAUUUUUUUUUAGGUAGGAGAAGUGAUAUCAGCUUCAUUAUGUAUCUUUGAGGUUGAUAUUUUCCUGAAGGGAUAUACAUUUCAAAACUACAAUGUAUUUGCUUUUCCCAUAGUGAGUGUGAUACUUUCAUGAAAUAGAUGCAGGGCCAAUAACUGUAUUAGGAUAUAUAUAUAUAUAUAUAUUUUUUUUUUCUUUAAGAAAAUUAAUAUAGGAUGUCACACAUAUGCACAAUAAAAACUUUUAAUCUAACAUUUUUAAUGUUAAAAUGAUGAAUGCGCUUAUGUGCUAUUUAAUGAGGGCUGUAUUUCACUUUUUACACAUCUACAGUGAGGAUAUUAAACAAAGUUAACUGCACUGGAUAUUGUUAGCAUUUUAAAAUUAAUAAUGCACUCUUUCUCCCUCUCCUGCUCUCCCUUUGAGGAGUUUUCACUAAAGGAAACUAAUUGCACUAAGAAGAAAUGUUAUAUAUUAACUAUAUUUUUUUUUACUAAACUACACAUUUAUGGUUUGAAGUUCAAAUAUAUAAUACUAUCCAACCAAAUUAUAAAAUCUAGCUAUAGAUGGAACCACAUUACAUAAAUGUAUUUAUCUAUGAGGAAUGGGCUCCAAAGGAGGAUGCAAGUACAAAGAUCUAGAUUGUGGUAUUUCAUUAAUGGAUAUCUGAUUUAUAAAAUAGGUAUGUGAGCACUAACAAACUUUAAAAAAAAAAAAAAAAAAAAGAAUAGAGAAGUAGGUUCUUCCAUAAUAAUUAGAUGAAUAUAAAUAUGGAAGUUAGUAUGUUUUUUUACAUAGUGCUUUUGCUUUAUUUUGUAAUUUUUUUUUACAUUUUAGUAUUUUUUCUCGUACCUGUAGCUUGGGAUUGCUCAUUUUUUAUUAUUGGAUUCUGAACGUCCUGCAUCAUCACGGCAGAUAGUGGUUUAUUUUGUAGACAGGUUAAAGCCUAUCUAUUUGGCGCUUUACCUAUCGGAGGAGAUUUUUUUUCCUUUGGGUCUAAGUGGGUGGGAAUAUGUAUGUUUAAUGUUUGUGUGCAAUAUUUUGUUAUGUGUUAUUAGGGUAGUCUCUGCAGAGGGAGUGCUGGUGAAGGGGUGUGGCCAUAAUGGGUUAAUAUGAUUAAGUUUGCCUCUUUGAACAUCAGGAAGUUGAAAAAGAGAAUUAUUGGCUAGCAACAGAUACGGAGUGGAUUAGAUCUAAAGAUUUUCCCCAUGUGUUCAAAUCAUCUUUGUCAAAUAAAAAAAGGGGGUGUUGCUACUUUAAUUUCUAGUAGGUUAGCCUUUAAGCUGAUACAUCAGCACUCCGAUACUGAACUUAGGUUUUACAUGCUUAUAUGUGAAAUUUACAACCAAAACUUAUACAAUAGUUAAUUUGUAUGCCCCUAACCAUUCUCCAACUAGAUUUAUACAGAAGAUUGUCUCCCGGGCUGAGAGAAUAAAGCAGAGAAGAAUUAUAUUUUUAGGAGAUUUCUAUUGUUUACUGGGUCCCACCAUGGACAGGAACAAAUCAAAUAAAUAUGAUAGACAAAGCCAAACAAUAAACCUUGCUAGACGUUUUAACGAAAUUUUGAGGAAUAAUAACCUCUUGGAUUUAUGGAGAGUCUGGCACCCCCAAGAAAGGGACUACUCCUGUUUUUAAAGCUCUCAUAAUGUAUAUUCUAGAAUAGACUACAUUCUAGUGGAGGGAGAUAUAACAAAGAUGACUUUAAAAAUUAUGAUAACUACUAUCCUAUGGUCAGAUCACAAUGCAAUCAUUAUGGUCAUUAAUGAUAAAUUUCUUAAAACAAGAUCUAAUUGGAGAUUAAAUUAAUGCAUUAUACAAAAUAAACAAAAUCUAAAUCUGAUAAAGGAAGUUACAGAGCUUUAUUUUAAAGAAAACUAUUCAAUAAUUUUUCUUAUAGUGAGUGUGAUACUUUCAUGAAAAAGAUGCAGGGCCAAUAACUGUAAUAGGAUAUAAAUAUAUUUUUUGUAUAAAAAAAUGAAUAUAGGAUGAUCUGGUGUGCUUAUAAGUGUACUAUUAGAGGACACCUAAUUAAAUUGGGUAGCCAAGAAAAAAGACGAAACAACUUGAAUUUAUCAGAAUUGUAUAUAGAUUUGGAUCGUAUAGAGAAUGAAAACAGGAGUAGCCCGUCAAAGAAAGGGAGUUAUAGGGUAAAGGAAGUUAGGGAUAAAAUUAAUAACAUCUUAAUUCAAAAAGCAAAUUAUACUCUUGAUCGACCUCAAAGAACAUAUUAUUAAGGGAAUAAAUUAAUGUCUAAUAGAUUAAAAAACAACAGAGCUAAACAAAUAGUUACUAAGAUUACUCAGGGCAAUGACAGCCUUCUCAUCCCAGAAAAAAAUGGUGAGGCCUUUCAAACUUUUUACUCGGCCCUAUAUAACUUACUGGAGAGACAGAUAUAGCAGGUUUUCUUAACAAAUGUAAUUUUCUCGGAAGAGCAAUUGGUUGCACUUAAUGAAUAAAUUAAUAUAAAUGAAGUAGGAACAGCUGUAAGAAAACUUAAUGUAAAUAAAAACAAGGUGGAGUAUCUUACAUAUAGUUUGUAUAUUCCAAGGAAUCAAAGAAUGAGAUCCUAUAAGGAAAACAGGAAAAGCAAACACUAGUGCAAUAUUGCCUGCAUAUGUAGAUGAAAUAAAAUAGAAAUAGGCAUUUCACACUCACAAGUGUAGAGCUGUUGGCUUAAACUCUAGGCGUUGUGGGAUUAUUCAGGGUCCCACUCCCUCCUCUGUAUGGUAUGGAAUUUGCCACUCUUUGAUGGUAUUCACCACUCCAGGAGUUUUCCAAAAUGCUUUAUUUAGCCAAACAAUGUUAAAAAUGAUAAGACAAUAUGUAAUAAAAAUAAAAAGUCAUUACAAGAUGUUAGUAAGUGCUUUCAAAGUGCAAAACGCGUUUCACCCCUCCUGAGGGCUUCCUCAGUUCCUCUAUUCCAAUGUUUCUUGCUGUCUUGUUUUAAAUCUUGAAAAGCCUGCCAUUCCCCAGGUGUUAUCAGUUCCGAGCUGAUAUUUCCGGGUCUGCGUACGCACGAUUUCCAUGCGUCCAACGUGCUGCCAUGCGUCCGAAUUGUUUCCGGUGAUUGGAACGCAUCCCUACGCUCCAUUUCGAUCAGCUUUGCUUCCUGUAGGCUGUGCAUGUAUUUUUCUAUUUGGAACGCAUUAUUUCAAGCCGUGACAUGAACACAUGGGAAAAUUUUAGAGGGGCCUGUCAUCUCCAAGAUAGAAUUAUUUCAGGUCUUCCUUUAACUCAUCCGAUAUACAAUAUCGUUGAUCUAAAUCUUUCCAACUGGACAAAGGCUGGCCUUACGAAAAUUUAAAAUCUUCUUGAUAAGGACAGGAUUAAGGACUUUACUUUGUUAAAUGCAGAUUUUGGUUUACAUAAUAAAUAAAUCUUUAACUAUAUUAGAAAUAAAAGGUUAUCUCCAAGAACAUGUAAUUAUGGACAGACCAGUCAAACAUAUUAAAUUAGAAAACAAUAUUAAGAGUAUGAAAAUGAAUAAACUAGUUGCAGGCUGUAUGGAUUUGAUUAAAGGACCACUAUAGUGCCAGGAAAACAUACUUGUUUUCCUGGCACUAUAGUGCCUUGAUGGUGCCCCCACCCUCAGGGACCCCCUCCCGCCCGGCUCUGGAAGGGGGAAAGGGGUUUAAACUUACCUUUUUCCAGCGCUGGGCGGGGAGCUCUCUGCCUCCUCUCCUCCUCCGUUCCUCCUCCUGGGCUGAAUGCGCACGCGCGGCAAGAGCUGCGCGCGCAUUCAGCCCGUCGCAUAGAAAAGCAUUUACAAUGCUUUCCUAUGGACGCUUGCGUGCUCUCACUGUGAAAAUCACAGUGAGAAGCACGCAAGCGCCUCUAGUGGCUGUCAAUGAGACAGCCACUAGAGGCUUUGGGGGAAGGCUUAACCCAUUAAUAAACAUAGCAGUUUCUCUGAAACUGCUAUGUUUAUAAAAAAUGGGUUAACCCUAGAAGGACCUGGCACCCAGACCACUUCAUUAAGCUGAAGUGGUCUGGGUGCCUAGAGUGGUCCUUUAAGGGAGACACUAACUUACCUAUUUUACCAGUGAUAAAAAAAAAUGGAACUAAAAAUUGAUAUUAGUUGUGAUGAAUGGACAGAAUCAAUGAAAAUGGUCAACAAAAAUAUUAAUUGCUUAAAUCUGUCAGAGAUACUUUAUGAACUUUUAAAUAAAUGGUACCUGGUCCCAAGUACGCUGUCUAGAAUUUACCCCAACGCCUCAGAUACAUUUUGGAGAUGUCUAGUGCACAAAGGAGAUUUCCUGCAUAUAUGGUUGGAAUGUCAACAUAUUCAACUAUUUUGGAAAAUGUUACACAUAAAAAUUCAAACUUUACUUUCAAAAACUAUUGAUUUUAACACCAGUAUUAUUACAAUUAAAAAUUAAAAACAUUUUUGGUCCCGCCUCAACUAUUGUGAUACACAUCUUGGCAGCUGCCAAGAUGUUGAUUGCCAGAAGCUGGAAGACGGUUAUAGCACCUUGCUGGAAUCAGGUCAUUAUUCAAAUUAUUCACCAAAUUAAAAUGGAGAUGGGCAUGUGUAGAACAUCAUAUGAUGUGUAUAAAAAGUGGUUGGAACAGGUAGAGAAAAUAUAAGUUAGAGAUACCCUCCUAUGACGUUAAGCGGUAAAUGUUUUCAUCUUGGAACAUGACUGAGCCAACCCUCUCUCCCGCCCCCUCCUUCCCGUAGGAAACUUAGAUUUGUGUUUUUCUUUUUUUCUUUUAUUUUGUUUUAUUUUUUUUGGGUGUGUUAGUUUUGUUCGGUGAUAUCCUGAUUGUUUUUAAUAUUAACCAAAAUUAUGUCAAUGGAUAAAUUGGCUUAAAGUUUUGUGCGUCUCAAUAAAUGUUUGUAUAAUUGAAAAUUUAAUAAAAAAAACUAUAUAUUAAAAAAAUAAUAAAAGUUCAAGCAUUAUUUAGACUUAUGUCUUAAAUAGAAUUACGAAAUACUCAGAUUACUGAUAUCUAAAUAUGUGUCUUUAUUGCAAUGAACGCUAUAAUUGCACUUUAUUCUUUAUUUAUCAUAGUUAUAUUUACAAUUGCAUUUAAUGGUAUGUUUUGUUGUAAUGAGCAUUUGUACCAGCCUUUUGCCCCCUUUUAAAAUGGACACUCAAUCUUUUUUUUUUUUUUUCUCAUUGUUUUGAUGCUGGUUACACAUAUAUUUGCCUAGAGGUUAUAUUUGUUUUGUUUUUUGUCACUUUAACCAUGAUGUCACGCUACUGCCACAACAUUAUAGACUCCUCCAGCAUUAAUAAUUUACAACCAAAUAAGUAAUGUCAUCAUUUAAUUACAUAAAGAUAGAAAUAUACAUUUGUAACACCUAUCUAACUUUUGACUUCUUUAAAUACGGCCGCUGAGCCAUUACAGCUUUACAGGCAUAUUGUAAGAAUACAAGCCUAAAGCAUCACGUUAUUUCCUUUUUCCAUGAUACUAUACCACCAAUGAAUUAUUCUGCAGGAGGUGUGGCUUACAAUUGAAAAUAACACCAGUCCUUCAUGGACACAAUAGAGACCUAUACCAUUGGCGUUUAGAAUACAACGUACGCCAUUGUGGCAAUAUGUGCGUUCCAGACUGACUUGAAAUUAGCCUCCCCAAACCAUCAAUGAUUCAUCACCGCAGCGUCACUUCCGGUGUGAUGCGUGUGUAUCAGCCUGGGAACAGGAAACCGGAAAUUAGACUCACCAGGAAGCCAUCUACAAGUACUUACUUCACCAUUGGAGUUUUUCUCUUUUUUGUAUUUACCUCCACAAAUACCACGUAUAUUACAUUGCAUUUGGAGCACCGGUGUUGACCACAUCACUAUAUAUCCUUACAUGGGGAUUAUACCGUCCAUGCGUAUUACAGCUGAGCUCUAAUGUAGCUCAAUAAAACCAAACUGGUCGAGACUGCACGGGGCCUCAGGAAAAUCACGUUGCGGCAGCUGCAGUCGCUGCUGGGGAAAUUGAACUGUGCAUGCCAGAUCAUGCCCAUGGGUAGGGUCUUUAAUAGGCGUUUUUCGGCAACAACAUCGGGGGUCGUUAGGCAGCGCCACUUCGUGCGCCUUACCCGACUACUGUGAGAGGAUUUGGUGGUUUGGAGUGCUUUUCUCAGCGGGUAUAAUAGCAGGUCCUACUGGCAGAAGCCAGAGGUUAUGAAUUCCGACCUCCGUCUGAUCACUGAUGCGGCGGGGUCAGUGGGGUUUGGGGCCAUCCUGGUGUGUGGAGUCCUGGCCGGAGUCUUGGCAUUCGGUGGGUUUGACUAGGAACCUGGCGUUCCUGGAGCUGUUCCCUUUUGUGGUGGCGGUUCAUCUAUGGGGUGCUUUUCUACGGGAUCGGCGAGUCGUGUUCCACUGCGAUAACCUGGGGGGUGGUCUUUGCCAUUAACAACUUAACAGCUUCCUCCCCUCCGAUAGUGCGACUUUUGCAGCGUUUGUUUUGCGCUGCUUGUCCUUAAAUGUUACUUGUAGAGAUGUGCACAUCCUGGGUGUUAAGAACAUAACAGCAGAUACCCUUUCUCGUUCCCAGUGGCAGGUGUUACGGGCGGCCGUACCGGACACUGAAGGUUCAUCCUGCCCGACAGAACUGUGGUACCUUGGCCUGCACGAGUGAGGGCUUGGAUCGGCAGCCACUUGGGCUUGGUAUGGUAAGGCAUGGGGUGAGUGGGUGGCCUUUGAACGGGAGAGUGGUGGUUUUGGCUCGUUCGACUAUCAGGUUCAAGGUCUGUUGAAUCUUUUGUGGUGGUGGGAAGCUUUUUGAUAGGUCCUCUUGUAAGUCCUUAUUUACAUGCCCACAAGACGGCAUUUAGAAAGCAAACUUAAUCUUUCACAGCAUAAAGUUAAAUGAGUAAAAGUUCAUAUAACUCUAGCACAGUAAUAAACACAUAAGCAGCAAAAGUCAUUAUCACCUAAACUUUUAUUUAAAAGUUAAACUUUAUUACACAUUUCUUAAAAAAUUAUUGAUUUAUUAAAAAAAUUAAUAAAUGAAUAAAUAGAGGAAUCUCCUCCAGAAUUAUUUAGUUCAUGGGGAAUGUAUGCUUACUAAUGCAAGGAGCCUAUAUAACAAAAUGGGGGAACUAGAGGCAAUAGCAUACACUAAACAUAUAUGAUAUAAUAGGCAUAACAGAAACAUGAUGGGAUGAGACACAUGACUGGGCAGUUAACUUAAAUGGGUACACCUUAUUUAGGAAGGAUAGGAAAAACAAGAAGGGUGGUGGGGUAUGUCUGUAUGUCAGCCAUGAGAUAAAGUCAAAUCUUAGGCAUGUGGAGUGUGACGAGAAAAAUGUGGAAGCUUUAU